rnacentral:rRNA from 1 species
CCUCCGGGCUUCCGCCGUUUUUGCUAUUUCACAAUUUUUUUAACCCUGAUUCAGCGACGCCGCGUGUGUGAAGGAGCGUUUCGGCGCGUAAAGCCCUAUCGGCAGGGAAGAAGGAGGACGGUACCUGACUAAGAAGCCCCGGCUAACUACGUGCCAGCAGCCGCGGGAAUACGUAGGGGGCAAGCGUUAUCCGGAUUUACUGGGGGUAAAGGGGGCGCAGACGGCAGCGCAAGCCAGGAGUGAAAGCCCGGGGCCCAACCCCGGGACUGCUCUUGGAACUGCGCGGCUGGAGUACAGUUGAGGUAGGCGGAAUUCGUGGUGUAGCGGUGAAAUGCUUAGAUAUCACGAAGAACUCCGAUUGCGAAGGCAGCUUACUAAACUGCCACUGACAUUGAUGCUCGAAAGUGUGGGUAUCAAACAGGAUUAGAUACCCCGGUAGUC